rnacentral:rRNA from 1 species
UACGAAGGGGGCUAGCGUUGCUCGGAAUCACUGGGCGUAAAGCGCACGUAGGCGGCUUCCUAAGUCAGGGGUGAAAUCCUGGAGCUCAACUCCAGAACUGCCUUCGAUACUGGCGAUCUUGAGUCCGGAAGAGGUGGGUGGAACUCCUAGUGUAGAGGUGGAAUUCGUAGAUAUUAGGAAGAACACCAGGUGGCGAAGGCGGCUCACUGGCCCGAUACUGACGCUGAGGCACGAAAGCGUGGGGAGCAAACAGGG